GAUGAACGCUGACAGAAUGCUUAACACAUGCAAGUCAACUGUGGCGGACGGGUGAGUAACGCGUAAAGAACUUGCCUCACAGAUAGGGACAACAUUUGGAAACGAAUGAUAAUACCUGAUACUGUGAGAUAACUUUGCGUCCCAUUAGCUAGUUGGAGAGGUAACGGCUCACCAAGGCGAUGAGUGGUAGCCGGCCUGUGAGGGUGAUCGGCCACAAGGGGACUGAGAUCCUGCGCUUACUUCUCCGGGAGGGAUCAGUGGGGAAUAUUGGACAAUGGCCCAAAGUCUGAUCCAGCUAUUCUGUGUGCACGAUGCAGUUUUCGGAAUGUAACGUGCUUUCAGUUGGGAAGCGUUACCAACCGAAAAAGUGCCGGCUAAAUACGUGCCAGCAGCCGCGGUAAUUC
rnacentral:rRNA from 1 species